rnacentral:rRNA from 1 species
UACGUAGGGGGCAAGCGUUAUCCGGAUUUACUGGGUGUAAAGGGGGCGCAGACGGCGAUGCAAGCCAGGAGUGAAAGCCCGGGGCCCAACCCCGGGACUGCUCUUGGAACUGCGUGGCUGGAGUGCAGGAGGGGCAGGCGGAAUUCCUGGUGUAGCGGUGAAAUGCGUAGAUAUCAGGAGGAACACCAGUGGCGAAGGCGGAUUGCUGGACAGUAACUGACGCUGAGGCGCGAAAGCGUGGGUAGCAAACAGG